rnacentral:rRNA from 1 species
UACGUAGGUGGCAAGCGUUAUCCGGAAUUAUUGGGCGUAAAGCGCGCGCAGGUGGUUUCUUAAGUCUGAUGUGAAAGCCCACGGCUCAACCGUGGAGGGUCAUUGGAAACUGGGAGACUUGAGUGCAGAAGAGGAAAGUGGAAUUCCAUGUGUAGCGGUGAAAUGCGUAGAGAUAUGGAGGAACACCAGUGGCGAAGGCGACGUUUCUG